rnacentral:hammerhead_ribozyme from 1 species
AUUCAGCUGACGAAUCCCAAAUAGAACGAAAUGUACGUCUUGCAU